UACAGAGGGGGCAAGCGUUAUUCGGAAUUAUUGGGCGUAAAGGGCGCGUAGGCGGCUUUGCAAGUGGCGGGUGAAAGCCCUCGGCUUAACCGAGGAACUGCCUGUCAGACUGGAUGGCUUGAGACCGGGAGAGGUGAGUGGAAUUCCCAGUGUAGCGGUGAAAUGCGUAGAUAUUGGGAGGAACACCAGUGGCGAAGGCGGCUCACUGGACCGGAACUGACGCUGAGGCGCGAAAGCGUGGGGAGCAAACAGG
rnacentral:rRNA from 1 species